GUGCUCUUCAGAUCUGGUAAUGUCAUGGUGUUCAGUCGGAAAUUCGUAGAGGUGGGUCGUGUGGCUUACAUUGGGAAAGGUGUAGAUUCUGAGAA